rnacentral:misc_RNA from 1 species
GAUGAAGAACGCAGUAAAAUGCGAUAAGUAAUGUGAAUUGCAGAAUUCAGUGAAUCAUCGAAUCUUUGAACGCACAUUGCGCCCGCCAGUAUUCUGGCGGGCAUGCCUGUUCGAGCGUCAUUUCAACCCUCAAGCACAGCUUGGUGUUGGGACUCGCGUUAAUUCGCGUUCCUCAAAUUGAUUGGCGGUCACGUCGAGCUUCUAUAGCGUAGUAGUAAAACCCUCGUUACUGGUAAUCGUCGCGGCCACGCCGUUAAACCCCAACUUCUGAAUGUUGACCUCGGAUCAGGUAGGAAUACCCGCUGAACUUAAGCAUAUCAAUAAGCGGAGGA